UUAAGCGACUAAGCGUACACGGUGGAUGCCCUGGCAGUCAGAGGCGAUGAAGGACGUGCUAAUCUGCGAUAAGCGUCGGUAAGGUGAUAUGAACCGUUAUAACCGGCGAUUUCCGAAUGGGGAAACCCAGUGUGAUUCGUCACACUAUCAUUAACUGAAUCCAUAGGUUAAUGAGGCGAACCGGGGGAACUGAAACAUCUAAGUACCCCGAGGAAAAGAAAUCAACCGAGAUUCCCCCAGUAGCGGCGAGCGAACGGGGAGCAGCCCAGAGCCUGAAUCAGUGUGUGUGUUAGUGGAAGCGUCUGGAAAGGCGCGCGAUACAGGGUGACAGCCCCGUACACAAAAAUGCACAUGCUGUGAGCUCGAUGAGUAGGGCGGGACACGUGGUAUCCUGUCUGAAUAUGGGGGGACCAUCCUCCAAGGCUAAAAUGCUCCUGACUGACCGAUAGUGAACCAGUACCGUGAGGGAAAGGCGAAAAGAACCCCGGCGAGGGGAGUGAAAAAGAACCUGAAACCGUGUACGUACAAGCAGUGGGAGCACAGAGCAAUCUGUGUGACUGCGUACCUUUUGUAUAAUGGGUCAGCGACUUAUAUUCUGUAGCAAGGUUAACCGAAUAGGGGAGCCGAAGGGAAACCGAGUCUUAACUGGGCGUUAAGUUGCAGGGUAUAGACCCGAAACCCGGUGAUCUAGCCAUGGGCAGGUUGAAGGUUGGGUAACACUAACUGGAGGACCGAACCGACUAAUGUUGAAAAAUUAGCGGAUGACUUGUGGCUGGGGGUGAAAGGCCAAUCAAACCGGGAGAUAGCUGGUUCUCCCCGAAAGCUAUUUAGGUAGCGCCUCGUGAAUUCAUCUCCGGGGGUAGAGCACUGUUUCGGCAAGGGGGUCAUCCCGACUUACCAACCCGAUGCAAACUGCGAAUACCGGAGAAUGUUAUCACGGGAGACACACGGCGGGUGCUAACGUCCGUCGUGAAGAGGGAAACAACCCAGACCGCCAGCUAAGGUCCCAAAGUCAUGGUUAAGUGGGAAACGAUGUGGGAAGGCCCAGACAGCCAGGAUGUUGGCUUAGAAGCAGCCAUCAUUUAAAGAAAGCGUAAUAGCUCACUGGUCGAGUCGGCCUGCGCGGAAGAUGUAACGGGGCUAAACCAUGCACCGAAGCUGCGGCAGCGACGCUUAUGCGUUGUUGGGUAGGGGAGCGUUCUGUAAGCCUGCGAAGGUGUGCUGUGAGGCAUGCUGGAGGUAUCAGAAGUGCGAAUGCUGACAUAAGUAACGAUAAAGCGGGUGAAAAGCCCGCUCGCCGGAAGACCAAGGGUUCCUGUCCAACGUUAAUCGGGGCAGGGUGAGUCGACCCCUAAGGCGAGGCCGAAAGGCGUAGUCGAUGGGAAACAGGUUAAUAUUCCUGUACUUGGUGUUACUGCGAAGGGGGGACGGAGAAGGCUAUGUUGGCCGGGCGACGGUUGUCCCGGUUUAAGCGUGUAGGCUGGUUUUCCAGGCAAAUCCGGAAAACUAAGGCUGAGGCGUGAUGACGAGGCACUACGGUGCUGAAGCAACAAAUGCCCUGCUUCCAGGAAAAGCCUCUAAGCAUCAGGUAACAUCAAAUCGUACCCCAAACCGACACAGGUGGUCAGGUAGAGAAUACCAAGGCGCUUGAGAGAACUCGGGUGAAGGAACUAGGCAAAAUGGUGCCGUAACUUCGGGAGAAGGCACGCUGAUAUGUAGGUGAAGCGACUUGCUCGUGGAGCUGAAAUCAGUCGAAGAUACCAGCUGGCUGCAACUGUUUAUUAAAAACACAGCACUGUGCAAACACGAAAGUGGACGUAUACGGUGUGACGCCUGCCCGGUGCCGGAAGGUUAAUUGAUGGGGUCAGCGCAAGCGAAGCUCUUGAUCGAAGCCCCGGUAAACGGCGGCCGUAACUAUAACGGUCCUAAGGUAGCGAAAUUCCUUGUCGGGUAAGUUCCGACCUGCACGAAUGGCGUAAUGAUGGCCAGGCUGUCUCCACCCGAGACUCAGUGAAAUUGAACUCGCUGUGAAGAUGCAGUGUACCCGCGGCAAGACGGAAAGACCCCGUGAACCUUUACUAUAGCUUGACACUGAACAUUGAGCCUUGAUGUGUAGGAUAGGUGGGAGGCUUGGAAGUGUGGACGCCAGUCUGCAUGGAGCCGACCUUGAAAUACCACCCUUUAAUGUUUGAUGUUCUAACGUUGACCCGUAAUCCGGGUUGCGGACAGUGUCUGGUGGGUAGUUUGACUGGGGCGGUCUCCUCCUAAAGAGUAACGGAGGAGCACGAAGGUUGGCUAAUCCUGGUCGGACAUCAGGAGGUUAGUGCAAUGGCAUAAGCCAGCUUGACUGCGAGCGUGACGGCGCGAGCAGGUGCGAAAGCAGGUCAUAGUGAUCCGGUGGUUCUGAAUGGAAGGGCCAUCGCUCAACGGAUAAAAGGUACUCCGGGGAUAACAGGCUGAUACCGCCCAAGAGUUCAUAUCGACGGCGGUGUUUGGCACCUCGAUGUCGGCUCAUCACAUCCUGGGGCUGAAGUAGGUCCCAAGGGUAUGGCUGUUCGCCAUUUAAAGUGGUACGCGAGCUGGGUUUAGAACGUCGUGAGACAGUUCGGUCCCUAUCUGCCGUGGGCGCUGGAGAACUGAGGGGGGCUGCUCCUAGUACGAGAGGACCGGAGUGGACGCAUCACUGGUGUUCGGGUUGUCAUGCCAAUGGCACUGCCCGGUAGCUAAAUGCGGAAGAGAUAAGUGCUGAAAGCAUCUAAGCACGAAACUUGCCCCGAGAUGAGUUCUCCCUGACUCCUUGAGAGUCCUGAAGGAACGUUGAAGACGACGACGUUGAUAGGCCGGGUGUGUAAGCGCAGCGAUGCGUUGAGCUAACCGGUACUAAUGAACCGUGAGGCUUAACCU
rnacentral:rRNA from 1 species